GGAGGACCGAACCGACUAAUGUUGAAAAAUUAGCGGAUGACUUGUGGCUGGGGGUGAAAGGCCAAUCAAACCGGGAGAUAGCUGGUUCUCCCCGAAAGCUAUUUAGGUAGCGCCUCGUGAAUUCAUCUCCGGGGGUAGAGCACUGUUUCGGCAAGGGGGUCAUCCCGACUUACCAACCCGAUGCAAACUGCGAAUACCGGAGAAUGUUAUCACGGGAGACACACGGCGGGUGCUAACGUCCGUCGUGAAGAGGGAAACAACCCAGACCGCCAGCUAAGGUCCCAAAGUCAUGGUUAAGUGGGAAACGAUGUGGGAAGGCCCAGACAGCCAGGAUGUUGGCUUAGAAGCAGCCAUCAUUUAAAGAAAGCGUAAUAGCUCACUGGUCGAGUCGGCCUGCGCGGAAGAUGUAACGGGGCUAAACCAUGCACCGAAGCUGCGGCAGCGACGCUUAUGCGUUGUUGGGUAGGGGAGCGUUCUGUAAGCCUGUGAAGGUGUGCUGUGAGGUAUGCUGGAGGUAUCAGAAGUGCGAAUGCUGACAUAAGUAACGAUAAAGCGGGUGAAAAGCCCGCUCGCCGGAAGACCAAGGGUUCCUGUCCAACGUUAAUCGGGGCAGGGUGAGUCGACCCCUAAGGCGAGGCCGAAAGGCGUAGUCGAUGGGAAACAGGUUAAUAUUCCUGUACUUGGUGUUACUGCGAAGGGGGGACGGAGAAGGCUAUGUUGGCCGGGCGACGGUUGUCCCGGUUUAAGCGUGUAGGCUGGUUUUCCAGGCAAAUCCGGAAAAUCAAGGCCGAGGCGUGAUGACGAGGCACUACGGUGCUGAAGCAACAAAUGCCCUGCUUCCAGGAAAAGCCUCUAAGCAUCAGGUAACAUCAAAUCGUACCCCAAACCGACACAGGUGGUCAGGUAGAGAAUACCAAGGCGCUUGAGAGAACUCGGGUGAAGGAACUAGGCAAAAUGGUGCCGUAACUUCGGGAGAAGGCACGCUGAUACGUAGGUGAAGCGACUUGCUCGUGGAGCUGAAAUCAGUCGAAGAUACCAGCUGGCUGCAACUGUUUAUUAAAAACACAGCACUGUGCAAACACGAAAGUGGACGUAUACGGUGUGACGCCUGCCCGGUGCCGGAAGGUUAAUUGAUGGGGUUAGCGCAAGCGAAGCUCUUGAUCGAAGCCCCGGUAAACGGCGGCCGUAACUAUAACGGUCCUAAGGUAGCGAAAUUCCUUGUCGGGUAAGUUCCGACCUGCACGAAUGGCGUAAUGAUGGCCAGGCUGUCUCCACCCGAGACUCAGUGAAAUUGAACUCGCUGUGAAGAUGCAGUGUACCCGCGGCAAGACGGAAAGACCCCGUGAACCUUUACUAUAGCUUGACACUGAACAUUGAGCCUUGAUGUGUAGGAUAGGUGGGAGGCUUUGAAGUGUGGACGCCAGUCUGCAUGGAGCCGACCUUGAAAUACCACCCUUUAAUGUUUGAUGUUCUAACGUGGACCCGUGAUCCGGGUUGCGGACAGUGUCUGGUGGGUAGUUUGACUGGGGCGGUCUCCUCCUAAAGAGUAACGGAGGAGCACGAAGGUUGGCUAAUCCUGGUCGGACAUCAGGAGGUUAGUGCAAUGGCAUAAGCCAGCUUGACUGCGAGCGUGACGGCGCGAGCAGGUGCGAAAGCAGGUCAUAGUGAUCCGGUGGUUCUGAAUGGAAGGGCCAUCGCUCAACGGAUAAAAGGUACUCCGGGGAUAACAGGCUGAUACCGCCCAAGAGUUCAUAUCGACGGCGGUGUUUGGCACCUCGAUGUCGGCUCAUCACAUCCUGGGGCUGAAGUAGGUCCCAAGGGUAUGGCUGUUCGCCAUUUAAAGUGGUACGCGAGCUGGGUUUAGAACGUCGUGAGACAGUUCGGUCCCUAUCUGCCGUGGGCGCUGGAGAACUGAGGGGGGCUGCUCCUAGUACGAGAGGACCGGAGUGGACGCAUCACUGGUGUUCGGGUUGUCAUGCCAAUGGCACUGCCCGGUAGCUAAAUGCGGAAGAGAUAAGUGCUGAAAGCAUCUAAGCACGAAACUUGC
rnacentral:rRNA from 1 species